UACGUAGGGUGCAAGCGUUAAUCGGAAUUACUGGGCGUAAAGCGUGCGCAGGCGGCUUUGCAAGACAGAUGUGAAAUCCCCGGGCUCAACCUGGGAACUGCAUUUGUGACUGCAUGGCUAGAGUACGGUAGAGGGGGAUGGAAUUCCGCGUGUAGCAGUGAAAUGCGUAGAUAUGCGGAGGAACACCGAUGGCGAAGGCAAUCCCCUGGACUUGUACUGACGCUCAUGCACGAAAGCGUGGGGAGCAAACAGG
rnacentral:rRNA from 1 species